rnacentral:rRNA from 1 species
UACGGGGGGGGGCAAGCGUUGUUCGGAAUUACUGGGCGUAAAGGGCUCGUAGGCGGCCAACUAAGUCAGACGUGAAAUCCCCCGGCUUAACCAGGGAACUGCGUCUGAUACUGGAUGGCUUGAGUUUGGGAGAGGGAUGCGGAAUUCCAGGUGUAGCGGUGAAAUGCGUAGAUAUCUGGAGGAACACCAAUGGCGAAGGCAGCACUCUGGGACGUGACUGACGCUGAGACGCGAAAGCGUGGGGAGCGAACAGG